rnacentral:tRNA from 1 species
UUUAUUAUAGUUUAAAUAGAACAUUAAAUUGCAAAUUUAAAAGCAGAUUUCUCUUAAUAAAU